AUGGGACGUGGAGACCAUCCGGAGUGUGUUUUUCCCCCGGAUGCAGACACAAUUUUGGCCAUGCCAAGAGCGAGGGUAGGGGGCCCAGAUAUAUGGGCAUGGGCUUGGGAGAAGUCCGGCAUUUUCACAGUUCGUUCAGCUUACCGGCAGACGAUGCAAACCAAGCUACAACUGACGACGAUGGAGGGUUCAUCUACUGGAGAUGAAGGUAUAUGGCGUGCACUAUGGAAGCUCAAUGUGCUUCCUAAGAUUCGGGUAUUCUGGUGGCGAGUGCUCAAAGGCUUCCUACCAAACUAUAGCGAGCUCCGGCGACGACAUAUAAAGCAGCUACUGAACUGCCCUAUGUGUGGUAAUGAUAAUGAAACUUUGUUUCAUUCUCUGAUUGAUUGCGACCAUGCUUUGCGAUUCUGGGAGGUGGCCGAGCAUUUCUUUGAUAUAAAUAUCCCGAGGCUUAAUCCACGGACAUGGUCUCACGAUCUGCUAGAUCAUAGGCUGUUCAAACAGGAUGAGGUUGCUAUCAUGAUUACGGUGAUGUGGGUGGUGUGGCACUCGAGGAAUAGCUAUACACAUGGAGAGCAGGAGUAUCAGCCGUCUCACUCCAUGAUCAUCAUCGAAGAGAUUGUGCGAGCUCUUGAGAUUCCAGCUAACAUCAAAACCCAGACUAUUGGCCCUCCAAGGUGGCAGCCACCGGACGAAGGGUGGGUGAAUAUUAAUACAGAUGGAGCUACACACUUGGUUCGUGGACGAGGAGGAGCGGGUUUUGUUGCUCGUGAUCACCAUGGAUCCUUCCAGAGAGCGGGAGGCCCAAGGUUCGAGGGGGUUACUGAUCCGUUGACUCUCGAACUGCUUGCCUGCAGAGAUGCGCUUGCCAUGGCGCAGGAUAUGGGUCUUCAGCAAGUCGAGGUUGAAACAGACUGA
rnacentral:rRNA from 1 species